CUUGUACAGACAGUUUAUUAUGCCAGUGUAAGAUGAGGGAGGGGAUUGAGGAGUCCUGGGGAGGGGUGACUUCCGGUUGAUUUCACUCGGAUGAACUCAUGCAACUGGAUAAGUCCAAAUGGAAAACAGAGUCAUCACAUCAUCCAUCACUGCGUUACUGUGGCCGAGGGAGAUCUUUAUUUCCCACUCCCACACAUAGGAAGCCUUCAUCCAAGCGGAAAACAGCAUCCUACACAUAACCAAUCUUCCACAUAAAGAAAUGGAUCACUCUGCAUUUUACCGAAUUAAGCACAAUAGUAUGUUAGCUAAUCGGGAAUCAUUCCUCACCUGAUUUGAACUGGUUAUAAAUUCCCUAUAAGAAAGGCAGAGCAGAUUCAUGAUUAGCUCAUCACUUAGAAAAUACGCAUCAAAUCUAAGACGUUGUCAGCAGUGGUUUCAUAAAGGGGGGGGGGGGUGGAUUCCAAGCGCCAUAAAGAAUUUGGAAUAUAAUUGGAUUGGUCUGGUUGGGGGAUAGAUUUGAUAUGCCUUCAUGGUGCCCAAAGUCUGUAGCAGUACACCUGGAUGUCAGGAACAUCCAGAUUGGACAUGGAGAGGGAGGAGAACGACAAGCCUGGGAAUCUGUAACGACUCCAGAGUCCCUCGCUGCAUCAGAAAGGACAGACAAGGGCCAGCACACUGCAGCACAUGGGCCAUUUGUCAGCGAUGCGUCCAGAGAAGCCGGGGAAAGGCUGGAUGCUGGAACAGGUUCCCUGGAGGCGACAGCUGUCACUACCCAUGCCGAAGUGUCACUCUCCAUGCUGGCUUAACAUGACGGAGCAAAAUUGCAUCAUUUAUGGAGAUGCUUUUAUAUUAAAAGGGGCAAAAUAUAUUUUAUAUAUGGCUAUGAGAACUGUGGAGAAAUGUUACCAAUCAGGAGCAGGCAAUACAAAGCAUUAAUAUUCUUCCAUAAUCAAUCACAUUCUUCCAUAAUCUUUGUUGUGGUGAGACUUUCAGGAAGCACAGGGCACCUUGGAAAGGAAGUCAGUCUGUCACAGAUCACACAUACACACACGUACUAUGGGCAAUUUAGAGUCACCUGUUCAGCUAAUCAUACGGCUUUGGACCACUGGAGGAGACGGGAGUAACCAGACGAAAGAGCUGCAGCGUGGGAAGGACAAGCAAAAGCGAACCUGGGAUUUGACUGCAGGUCUGAGUUUACUGAGUUUAUAUAUAGAAUUUCAGGAGACUGUUAAGAAAUCCAGCCAAAGCACACAGUAAAUCCGAGGAUGGAGGGGAGGCGGAGGUGGUUACUCCUGCUGGCUGCCAGUGGAGCUCCUUAAGCGCCGCCCUGCGUGUGACCCCAGCAGACCACGGCACCUCUUCAUUUUGGAUUUGUCCCCAUGGAAUUCUGGAGGAAGAAACCAGCAUUUUUUUGGAACUGUAUCCACCAUAUGUUAAUUCCUAAUUACUUCAUUUAUUAAAUAUGAUCGCUGGCUGCAUUCUGAAGGUGGAGGCUUACAUGAAAUCCUGAAAGACCUUUGAUCAAAUGCUUUUAUGAAUCUAGCUGAGCUGAGCUGAGUGCUGUGGUCACACAUCCUACUCCAGGGCAGACAAACGUAACCCUGAUAUCUAUUGAUUCAAAGCUCAUCAAAGUCUACAUCUAAAAAAUCAUUUGCACAGUUACACUUUGUCACAGGUGACUUCAUUUCUCACAACUGAAACCCCAGAGUUACAUUAUUAUGUCAUAUCAUAAAAUGAGGUUACAUGAAAUAUUUAACACAAUUAUCUAGGCAUAUAUGACUUUUUAGUUAAAAGAUUUUAUUUUAGAGUUACAUUUUAAAUGUCGUUAUCCAUCUAUAA